rnacentral:tRNA from 1 species
AUUUAUUUCAAACGCUAGAAUUAAUGUCUUGAAAACAUUAAAUGAAGGUUAAACCCCUUUAAUAGUUU